UCUGGUGGCUUAGAUGGUAAAGAAUCUGUCUGCAGUGCAGGAGACCUGGGUUCAAUUCCUUGGUCAGAA
rnacentral:tRNA from 1 species